AGUGAACGCUGGCGGUAGGCCUAACACAUGCAAGUCGAACGGCAGCACAGUAAGAGCUUGCUCUUACGGGUGGCGAGUGGCGGACGGGUGAGGAAUACAUCGGAAUCUACUUUUUCGUGGGGGAUAACGUAGGGAAACUUACGCUAAUACCGCAUACGACCUACGGGUGAAAGCAGGGGAUCUUCGGACCUUGCGCGAUUGAAUGAGCCGAUGUCGGAUUAGCUAGUUGGCGGGGUAAAGGCCCACCAAGGCGACGAUCCGUAGCUGGUCUGAGAGGAUGAUCAGCCACACUGGAACUGAGACACGGUCCAGACUCCUACGGGAGGCAGCAGUGGGGAAUAUUGGACAAUGGGCGCAAGCCUGAUCCAGCCAUACCGCGUGGGUGAAGAAGGCCUUCGGGUUGUAAGCCCUUUUGUUGGGAAAGAAAAGCAGCAGGUUAAUACCCCGCUGUUCUGACGGUACCCAAAGAAUAAGCAUCGGCUAACUUCGUG
rnacentral:rRNA from 1 species